CCAGCCCUCAGUUCCUACCUGCCCUCCUCCUGGUUGCCAAUCCGAAGCAGAGAACGUUGGUGACUUGAGUAUAAUUCGCUUUAAUUACAACAACAUGUGUAAAUGACAGGAUGCCACCGCCGUGCGCAGGUGGCGGCCACAGAAUACGCAUCAAAUUCAUUCUGCCCAAGGAAGGGGGGAGGCGGGGGACUUGUGAGCAGGGGGCCCCAGCCCCUCGGUCCUGUGGAUGGUGGGGUCACCGCCCAAUGGCCGCACACGGCCCCUGAGCAGUAAGCAGAUGGGAAGCAGAGCAGCAAUAAUACUGGGUGAGUCCUUCCUUGCGUAAAACAUCUGAAUUAACUCAUUGAAGGUAUCAAAAAUAUACCCUGUAAACCAAUACACCAUUUACACCUGCCUCCUCUUCCCACCGCUGCGGCCACUGCGUGCGAGCGAAGAAACGGUCCAGGUCCGUGGCGUCUGCCCGGCCGACCCGGCUUCCAGCAGUUUCACCAGCUGGGGCGGCCCGUGGGGACCGGGACAAGAGCCUAGAGGCUGGAUGAGGCCCGUGUUCGUCUGUCCAGAGCAGUAAGCGGGGUGGGAGGCAGAGGGAGGGUGCGGGGGCCACUAGCUCGGAUUAGACUUUGGUUCCAGAUGCGCUGGGGGAGGCAGUGGGGUGGAGGUGCGUAGUCGUCCUGUCUUGGGUCCCCGCUGCCCCGGCCUUGCGCGUGUGGCUGCCACAUGCUCGCCACGCGCCUCCCCCAGCCCGCCACCCUCCCCUCCCGAGCACCAGGUGAACAUCCCCUGAGAAAGGUCACUGCACAGGGCCAGCCCGGGUGGGAGUCGUAGUUAAGGCUUUAGACAGGCAAGGACGCCAGCUCCGCUCUGGAUGGACGGACAGACGCACGCGCACGGCAGGCGGACUCAGGGCUCCUUCCUCUCUGGGCCGCUUCUACCGGGACCUGGCACCGCCAUGCGCAGUCACUCACUGUCGGAGAGCGUCUCGUACUGCGAGCAGAGUAGUGGCUUGGGCUCCUCCUCCCAGGCGUGGUGGGCACCAGCGAGGACCCCGCUGCCCGCGGGGAUGCCAGGUGGGGGCGGCGAGGCCAUGACACCUGCCUGCAGCCGCAUGAUCAGGGGGUUGUAGGGGAAUGGCGUGGAGCCUGUGGGACGACAGGGGCAUGGCUCAGGGGGCCACCUGCCGGCUACACCAGCCGCUGUCCACCCAGGGACCUUCAGGCCUGUGACACUUUUCACUUCCCUGCCCGACUCCUCCAGGGUGCUAUGCAUAGGAUAUCCUGACUCACGAAAAGAAACCCAUGGCCCUGGCCGCUGCCUGCCCUACAUCCUGGUGCCCAAGUGGCCCUCCGUCUCCCUCCCCUCCCUGGGCCUGGGCAGCCCCAGCCACACCUCUGCCCUCCAAGGCAGCCUAUCUGGGCGCUGCCUGCAGCCCUCCCGACCGCACCUGCACAGCGGUGCGCACCUGUGGACGAGGGCCGGUCCUCCCACACGCGGUUGGUGAGUGGUGUCCGGCGGUUGCAGUCCCCCUCGGAGUGCACCGAGGAGACAGAGGGUGGCCGGUCUCCGGACACCAGACCUGGGGCUGGGGACUUGGCUUUUCGGCUGCUGGGUCUGCCAGAGACCUUGCCCUUCCCACCGCUGCCUGCAGGAAGGACAGAGGGAACAGGGCUGCAUUGGACAAUGACAACAGCACCCGUACCAUGGGGAAAUGGAGUUGGGUGGGCUGAGUCCUGCCAUGGGGAAGCCACCUGGGCCACACCGAGGCUGACCACAUGGCCGGACCCAGCCCGGCACCGGGGGAAGGGGUCACAACGCCCUUAGGCUGCCCUGUGGCUCCCGAGGCCCUGGGGUUGCAACCCUGAGCCUCAUGCCUCAGGCCUCUGCUGGACCCUGCGUGUUGCCCAGGAUGGCACCAGGGCCAACGGGCUGUGGCCCCUGUGCAGGACCAGGACCCCAAGGCCAAGCUGGACCCCACUAAGAGCCUCAGGGUCAGAGUGGCCAGCUGAGCCUCAAGUCCUCGCUCAGCGCCUGCUCCGAGGUGGCAGGGGACGCCAGGGACUGGGCCCUGGCCAGCUGUCCCCCAUCUUCGCAGCCCGGGUAGGCCCUCUCCCACCAGGGCCCCAGGAGCCAGCCGGAGCCCCAGGGGUGGGGCAGGGCAUGGGCAGCGGUGUCAGCGUCUGCGGAAGCAGCGGCAGGGAGGCACCGGGUGUCGCCCAGCUCAGGGUUAGCAAACUACAGAACAAUGUCCAACGCACGAGUCACACAAGCUGCAAGCUCUGGGGUCAGAGGACGCAGGAGCGAGGAGUAAUAACACCGGGUGGGCGAGCGGGCGGGCGGGACAGACGGGGCGGGCAGGCGGGGAGGCCGCAGACCUGGCGAGGUGAGCGCAGGGUCACUCCGUCCGUCAGCAGCGGUUAUGGGCAUAGCGGCCGCGGGGAGGCUGGCACUGGCAUUCAGAGGGUUAAAAGCAUUGGCGCCGAGUGGCGGGGGCUCUUCCCACUGAUCAUAUUUACCCAUGAGCGCCUUUCUAAUUAUGGCCUCCAGCCCCAUGUUGGUGCUGGCAUGCUCCGGCACUGCCUGGCUUCUACAGGUCAUUAGGCCUGGGAUGGAGAGAGACAGAUAGACGAACGACAGACACACACACACACACACACGCGCGCACACACACACACACGCGCGCACACACACACGCACACGCACACGCACGCACACACACACACACACACACAGGGGGCCGGGCGGGAGCCAGAGGGGCGCGGAGGGGGGAGGAGAGAGAAUACACAGUGAGCACAUUUUGCAAAGCAACACGUCUCUUCAUUUCCCUCCCCCUUGUCCUGCAGGGUGGUGCUGGCAAUGGGAAGGGACCUAAGGGGACCCCGGAAUCCCUGGGUGUUCCCAGGCAGUGGAGCUGGGGAGGGGGAGAGGUCCCCAGCCUCAUUUCUACUCUGCCCUGGGAAGUCAGAAGCCUCUGCUCAACUCCAAUCCUGACCCCUGCAGCUGCUGCUGCUGCUGCUGCUUUUUAACUCCAGUGGCUUCAAAGCGGGGCCAGGAGGAGAGAGCUGGCCUGGCCAGGGGCGGGGGGGGGGGGGGGUCUGGCAUUGAGCCUGAGCUGGGCACUGACAGUGGCAGGACAGGGCUGGGGGUGAAGAUUCAGUCCGGCUCCUCCAGGGGCUGGGGAAGGACCCAGGGAGGGACGGUGACCCGAUCGCCUGCAAGGCUGGGAACCCAAUGUCCUUGCUGGCCCCCCAAACUGGGCCUGCCUCUCUGCCCCCAUCCAGGAGCCAGAGGAGAAAGGUGCAGAGACGGUCGGGGGCGGGGCUGGCAGCCAUGCAGUUAGUGCAUGCGGGGAACAGGGUAGAGCUAGAGACAGCUGACGACCACUCCGCCCAGCCCCAGCUGGCCUGGCCCUGGGACAAGGACAAAGUAGUGGAUGCCACCACCUGGUCCCGAGCAAUGCUUCCAGACCCCGCUGCGCAACCCCGCUAAGCCCCUUUUGGUUCCCAGGUUUCCUUUCUCUUUGAACCACGCAGGAGGACUCUGCAGACCCUGGCAGGCAGGACCUCUUCUCGGCUCUCUGGGUACCCAGAUGUGACUCUCAAAACCUCUCCCAGAGCCCUAGUCCGACCCGCCUACCCAGGAUCCUCGCCCAGACAGCGGGGACAUGAAGGGCCGCACAUGGGGCUCCGUGUUUGCGAACCAGCCACUCCCCUCAGAGCCCCACUUCUGGGAGGCCACUGGCCAUACAGCUGCACUGCUGGGUGCUGCCCACACCACCUCCCACCAGCAUUAAAACGCCACGCCCAUCAAGGAAAACCAGGAUUUGCAACAGAGAUAGAAAAGAAGUUAAAAUCCCACACAUUCAGCAGACCCGGGAGAGCAGCAGUGCCACAGGGCAGACCCAGGCCUGACAGCUGCAGUGCAGCGGUGCUGCGGGGCUUCUCCCAGAGGUCGCGGCCCGGACCGGACAGAGCCCGCUUGGAUGGGUGUUUCUCCACUGAAGGCCAAGUCUGAGUGCCAGAGAAGGGGCCUGCGAACUGUUUUUGGGGAUUAACCUGCAUUAAGGGAGAAAAUCUGGGCGUGGCGGUGAUGCCUGUCACCCAGCCUUCCGAGAGGCUGAGGCAGGCGGACUCUAGGUCCGAGCCCAGCUAGGGAACUUCGUGAGACCCUGUCUCAAAAUAGAAUGUGAAACAAGGGCCAGGGAUGCGGCUCAGUGUGAAGGCCCUGGGUUCAAGCCCUAAUUCCACAAAAAACAAAGUAAAACAAGAACAAAAAUCACAUAUCGCUAACAUCCACAUUUCCGUACCCAUCUUCACCAAUCUUGAGCAGUGUGAACUCCAGCACGCCUGUACACCAGGGUGUCUGAUGGCCAUGCCAAGGGCUGGGAGACCCACAAACCCUAUCUUACCAUCCUGUUUCCACCACACGGUCUCCGUGUGAGCCCUCGAAGGGCCUGUGCGUGUCCAGUCUGGGCGGAUGACGCACCCCUGUGGGACCCCCACUGCCCCCAUGACCUUGGGUAACAGCCAGAAGGCCACCUCCCGCUCGCCUCGCUUCCGGGGCACAAGGUCCCUGGAUUCCACCUGGGAGGCCGCUGAUGCCCACCCUGCUGGCCUCAGCUCCCGGCAGGGGCACUGUCCUCAAGAGCUCUGGGACAGACCCCAAGGCACCCCAGCUCCGCAGCCGCCCAGGGUGUCCUGCGCCACGGCUCCGGGCUGCAAACCCCAAAUUCCUCCCUGGGGCAGCGGAACGUCCCGAGGAUGCUGGGAGUAGAUCCAGGGCCAUAGACGUCUUAGAUUCUGGCUUCUGACCACAUGUGGAUUUUACACCCCCUCCCACGUGUGCCUGCAUCUGACAUGGCAAAAAAUAAGGUCCCCUAGCUCCCCGGCUGGCUUCUCAAGGGAAACGGAGGUGCUGCCCACAAACCCCGGCCAGGCGUGCUGCCUCCGCCUGUGACUGGAGCAGGUCGGCUCUGGUCCCCGCUCACUAAGCACAGGUGACCUCGACCCCCUCAAGCAGCGGGCGCUGUCUACACCGACGACAGCUGGCCGGCCUGCCUGCUGCGUGCCUGGCUCCUCCCUGCGGGUUGCCUGAGACCAGGAGGAGGGACUGUCUUUGGUCGAGGACACACUGGGGCCUGCGGGCGCAGACAGUUACCUGCUCCGGUGAUGGCCGGCAUGUUGAAGAUCUCCGUCCCGGGCUGGCCAAUUGUAUUCCGGCUCCGUCCGGCUGUGGGUGUUGAGCUUCUUGUUGAUCUCCUGCUUCUUCGACUUGACCAUGGCAGAGUUGCUCUCCGUCAGCUUGCUGAAGAAGGCGGGCGGCUGGCUGGUGCUGCCUGGGGACUUGGAGCCCAUCCUGCCAGGGGACAGGGCGCUGACUGGACAGCUGGGGACCGGGCCCCUGGCUCCCGGGGCUGUGUCGCCCGCCCGGAGCCCACCCGGGGCCAGGCUCUGCACCAUGAGCACCUGGCCUCCACCUGCUCCCCGUCCCGGUACAGCAGCGGGUACAUGGCACUCCGGGGGUGCCCGGGCUCUGUCAUGCUCUCAGGAGGAGAAACGGGUUCGAUGCCAUCCUCGCCGCCUCCCAGGACUGAUGUCUUGCUUGGCUCUGGAGACCUGGGCAGAACGAGGGUCCAGGCUGCGGUCAGAGCCGACCUGCAGGAGCCGCCCCGCCCCGGCCUGGCCAGCUCCGCUGUCCACCAGGGCCUGGCAGGCUUCCCUCAGAGGGCACUGGGUGCUGCAGGCCAUGGUGGCCUUGGCCACCCGCCCUUCCCCACCAGCCUUUAAAGAUGCAAAACUAAAGCCAGGUGUGGUGGCACGAGCCUGUCAUCCCAGCACUCGGAGGCUGAGGUGGGAAGAUCAGAAGUUCAAACCAGCCUGGGCAACGUGGUGACUUAACAACCUGACUCAACAUAGAAAGUGCAGCUCAGCGCAAAGGCCCUGGGACUCCAUGCCCAGUGUUGUGCCACCCCGGGCAAUGCCUCCCAUCACCGCAGCGCUCUGUGGCCUGUGAGUGUGCACCUGGAUGCACGGGCAUACAGAUGUACGCACACUGGAGGCCAGGACACGCAGGCAAGCGAGUUCCUGCUGAGGAUCCGUGGCACGAGGCGAUGCUGCAGGUCUGACCAAGCCCUCGUUGGCUGCUGCAGGUCCCCUGUGCCAGGGACCAGCCCAGCCUCAGUUCUCCACCCACGCAGUGCACCAGGAGGGCCUGCCUCUGCCCAGCUGCCCCUCUGGGCUCACCUCUUGCCCCCCUCACUGUGCGGGGAGCCUUGGGCUGGGGUGCUGUGCUCGGGGGUGGGAGGUAGAGGUCGCUGGGCGGGCGGCGGAGGUCCAGCACUGGGCAGCUGGCUCCAGGGAAGGAGUAGAGUGGGGCGGGCAGCGGGGUGCCGAGCUGCUGUGGGUGGUGCCGUGUGUAGUCCUGCGUGAUGACCUCCUGCGGGCAGAGCAGUGUCAGCGGCCGCCCUGGAGACAGAGCAGGUCCCUGGCUGGCUGGGACCUGCCCACGGCCUCUGGGCCCCAAGGCCUGCAGGCACCAGGAAGGUCGGGUCCGAGGUCUCCCCAAUGGCCCCAGCGAGUUGGACCUGACGCCCUGCACCCACAGGGCAGAAGAUUGGGGUCGGGGUCACGGUGUCCGCCUCUGGGACCUCACCCACCCCGCCAGGCCCCAGGAAGGGAACCGUGUGCACCGCCCUCCCGGGCAGGGGGCGCAUAGUUACACUGAUGUGCUGUGCCAGGGUGACCACCCGCUGGUGACCUUUCACCCCGGGGGCAGUCUGCAGCAGCGGGCUGGAUGCGGGCUGGCUCUCGGGCAAUGGCCGAAGGUGCGGGAGGUGGGCGGCCUCCCCUCCAAGCUUCCCGGGGGCUGCAUGGAGAGCAGGGCCGAUCAGGGGGUGCCUCAGUUUCCCCAUCUUCGGGACAGGGUCAUGGGCGUCCCUGUUUCAUGGGGAAGGGUACCUGGCUGUUUGUGCCGCAGCUCCCCUCCGGAUGGCCCCUGUCUAUCUCCUCCAGAUGCUUGGGGAGCCCCUUAUCGUGGGUCAGGCUCGGGGAGCUCACUGGGCUGAUGGGUUCCACCCCUUCUGGGCUGUAGCCAUGGUAACCUGCAAGGGGUAGGACCAGGAUCAGAGGUGGGGCAGCACCCAAGGGGCAGGCUGGCUGGGGCCCUGGUAUGGAGGGGACAGCUGGGCCCGGGUGUGAACCCUAGUGCACCAGAGGGCCUGGGCAGGACAGAAAGGGCAAAGGGAGGGUCUGCAGAGACAGAGGCAGACAGACGCUGCGUGGGACAGAGCAGGACAUGAGGAGGGCAAUAGCUGCGGGGGGCCCCGCCUGGACCCCAGCCUGGCAGGGGGGCGGGGGCUGUGUCCCAAGGGCCUCCCUUCUCCCCAGGGUGCAGGGGCUGGGAACAGGGAACUACAGGCUCCCUGAGGUCAGGGCGGGUGCGGAGUCAGGGCCCCCAGCCCCUCCGGGACAAUGUGGGUGCUCCUCCCCCUCCCCACCGGCUCCCUGCCUCAGUUUCCCUCAGAUUCACACACAGCAGCAGGCAAAAACUAUCAACCUCUGCAGGCCCCCUGCAGCCCCACUCCCUGCUCCCCAAACGACGGUGCAAAGGGGCCGGUGGGAGGUGCAGUUGGAGUCCAAAUCACAGAUCCAUUCAUUAAAGGAAAAAAAGCAAAACUCCAAAAAAAAUAGAAAAAAAGAAAAGAAAAAAAAAAAUCACGUUCAAAUGAUGUGCAAAUAAGGAGGAGCCCCGGACCAGGAGGGGCAGCGGCCGGAGAAUCAUCAGAGCGUGCAGAUCGACAGGGAUGGGUUCGAAACCGAAACACCGAAACCAACGAAAAAUGGGGGGAAAUAAAAGCAAAGGUCUGGAGAUGUCUGGCGGCCACGAGGGGCGGGCAGCGGGCCGGGACUCUUACCAUGGCGAGGGGAGCCGCUGGCCCGCGAACCUCCUUCUCGCGGCCCCUUAUCGUGGGCAAUUUGACGCAUGAUUAUCGCGUCUAUGAAGGUGGCCGCUGUCAGGGUGGUCUUACCCAGAGAACGGAGCUCCAGUCCCUGGAUGGAAAAGGGUUUACUUUGAGUCUUUCCCCGGUGCGGGUCGGAGGCCGAGGUGGGCGCCGGCGGGUCCGGGCUGGCGUGGGGUGCGAGGCUCUUGGCUGGGGUGUGGGUGAUGGCCGCGAGACUGGAGCUGGGGGGCACGAGGGGCCGGGGCUCGCAGCUCUUGCUGGGGGAGGAGGCGGCCUCCCGGGCAGGGGGCUUGGCGAGGAAGGCAUGGCCGGUGUCUGCUCGCGGCCGCUCUGUCCGGGCGGCCCGCGGGGCCUCCUUGGGCAGCAGGACGGGCUCCACGAGGGUGGGGUAGGCGAGGCGGUCCAUGGCCGGGGCAGGGGUGCCGGGCGUCGGGGGCACCAGCACAGGCAGGUGUGGCACUUGGGACAGGUCAAUGAUGCCUGGGGAGGACAGGAAGCUGGAGCCGGGCAGAGGAGGCCUGGCUGCUGCCCCUGGACAGGCCACUGGACAGAGAGCACCCAGGCCCAGGGCAGGCCCCUCUCCCAAGCUCCGCCCGCCCACGUCUACCUGCCCAGGGACCACACCCUCGGAGCAGCUGCUGGGUCUCCUCAGUCUACAGUCGGCCCGCGCAGUCCUGCAGGGGCCCACGGUGCCCGGCCCCUGCUGGUGCCAGGCUGUCCACAGCUGUCUAGGCCCCCGAGCACUCCGCGCGCAGCAGCCCCAGCUGCGGGUGCCGGGCGUCACACACUGUGUGUGGAUAGCCAGGACAGGUGUGCUGCUCAGAGACCCAGGACUUGCCGCCCCCACCCACCUCGUGGGCCGGUGGCGUAGUUGAGCGCCAGGGAGGACUCAGCGGGGGUGACAGGCCGCGGAGCAUGUCGGCACGCUGGGCCAUGGCGGUGGCGGCGUUGUGGUGCAUUUGCUGCGAGGUGAUGUAGUCAUUGAUGAUGGUCUGGCGGUUCUCCAGGGCCGCUGUGUCGGGGGUAGCCGCUGGAUGAGGUAUGGUGGGUACAGGUGCGGGUAGGUGGGGUUGGGGGCCAGGUGCCGGGGCAGGUAGUAGGCGGCGGCUGUGGAGCACCGGGGCGAGGUUAGGCGCCCAGCCCGCCCUG
rnacentral:lncRNA from 1 species